UGAAAAUGUACGGUUCAACUGCA
rnacentral:siRNA from 1 species